ACCUUGUUGUUUUAACCUUUGUCACGAUCCUAAAUCCGGACCCGAUCGUGAUGGCGCAUCUCGUGAAAACAAGUCCAGCCGAGACAACACUCAAUUCAUUUUAAACGAUUCAAAUAGAACAAUUAAGUCAUUAACAUGAUUAAAUCUCAAUAGAAACAGUGAAAUAGUACAAUUUGCGGAAAAACCAACACAGCCCGAUAUCGGGGUGUCACUAGUCAUGAGCAUCUAUCAUAAGUUUACAAGUCUGGAAAGAGUUUGCACAUUCUAUUACAUAACUAGGGCAAGGGAAAUAAAAUAGGAGGGAGAGACACUGGGUUGCGAACGCUGAGCAGCUACCUAGUGGACUCCGAAUAGCCUGCUGAGCAAUCAACCCUCACUGGCGAAACCUGAAGCUCCUGAAUCUGCAUACAGGGUGCAGGGAGUAAAGUGAGUACUCCAACUCAGUGAGUAAUAACAAUAAAUGAAGACUGAGCGAUAAGAAAUCACGUGAAAACACAACAACACGCUAUAAAGAGGUAGAGUAAAACCAGUAAAGUGCAAUAAAACAGUGAAAUCUCAUAAAACACCUUAGUUCAGUAUAAGCUUCUUUAAAAUACCUUUUUAACAGUUAAACAAGUAGACAACAGGCAACUAGAAGAGAUAAACACUAAAAAUCGCCCCUCGGGCACAAUACCAACAGAAUCAGCCCAUCGGGCAACAACAUGGAACAACACCAGCCCCUCGGACUAUAUCUCAUAUCACAAUGGGUACCCGCGCUCACUGGGGGUGUACAGACUCCGGGAGGGGACCCUUACAGCCCAAUCGCAAUAUCAAGCCAUCUCGUGGCAUAAUCAAUAUGUUCUCGGCCUCAUAUCAAGCCACCUCGUGAGUACAACUCAGGCCCUCGGCUUCAUAAUCAUGAAUCAAUAUGUCAUUGUUGCAGCGUGCAGCCCGAUCCAAAAGUAUCCUCACAACACAGGCCCUCGACCUUACUCAAUCAGAAUCUCAUAAGCCACUCGGGCAACAGUAAAAUAUGAUGCUCAGACUAAAAUAUCAUUUAAAACAUCAUUUAAUGUGUUAAAACAGAGUAAACAUGGCUGAGUUAAGAAAACAGUAGAAUAAAGCAUGAUUAAGUACAAGUAUAAAGUCAAAAUAGUGAGGAAUAGUAGUAAAGAUCCCCUAAGGGUCCCAAAACAGUUAGCACGAGGCCCAAAUAUGGCAUUCAGCCCAAGACAUGAUGAUAGCAAAUAGUUUUCAAUCAAAUAUGCAGUAAAAUAGUCAAUCGGGACGGACUAAGUUACAAUUUCCAAUGGUGCAUGACCCCACACUCGUCAUCUAGCGUAUGUGUCACCUCAACAUAGCACAACGAUGUGUAAUCCGGGGUUUCAUACCCUCAGGACAACAUUUACAAUCAUUACUCACUAUGACCCGGUCUAAACUCUAGCCCGCGAUGCCUUUGCCCCUCGAAUUGGCCUCAACUUGAGUCGAAUCUAACCAAAAUAAGAAUCACGACGUUAAAAUAUGCUAAGGGAACGAAGCCCUAUGCGAAAAUAAUCAAUUUACAACAUAAAUCCCGAAUUUAACCAAAACCCGACCCCCUGGCCCACGUCUAAGAAUUCGAUAAAAUUUACAUCAAUAGAUUCCUCAUCUCCCCACGAGUUCAUACAUAUCAAAAGUCGCAAAAUCCUACCACAAAUGGCCCCUAAAAUCCCCAAGUCAAGGUAUCCAAUACCAAACCCUAGUUUUCCAAAUUUUUAACCCUUAAUUUCCAUAAUUACAAGCCUAAUCGGUGAAAUAAUUCCAUAGAAUCGAUUAUUAGGUUCAAAAAUCUUACCUCCAGACGUUAUCCUUUGAAUCCCUCUUCAAAAUCUCCCAAAAAGCUCCAAAACCGACUUGAAAUGGUGGAGAACAACUCAAAAAUCACAAAGGAAUUCUUUUAUACCUUCUGGCCUAGGAUUUUCGCACCUGCGACCUAAAUCCCGCUUCUGCGGCCUAAUCAACCGCAUUUGCGAUUUUCACUUAAAUGGCCAUUUUCGCAUCUGCAGUUAAAAACCUCGCACUUGCGCUACCGCAGGUGCGCCCACUUCACCGCUUCUGCGGUUCCUGAUGAUCUUCUUCUUGGACACAUCUGUGGCUGCCUUCCGCUUCUGCGAGCAUCGCACCGGCGGCCUCCCAACCGCAUGUGUGGUUAUAACAGCAACAAAAUGCUUCAGCUAUCCCAACUCAACUUCAAACCUUCCGCCAAUCAUCCGAAAUCACCCCGAGGCCCCCAGGACCUCAACCAAAAGCAUAAACCAAUCAUAUACCACUACCCAAACUUAUACCAAUCUUUGAAACACCUCAAACAACAUCUAAUCCAUCAAAUCACAUCGAAUUCAAGCCUAAGGUUCCAAAAUCUUCUGAAUUCUGCUUUUGAUCAAAAAGUCUACCAAACCAUGUCCGAAUGACCUGAAAUCUUGCACACACAUCCCAAAUGACACAACAGACCUACUGCAACUCCUGAAAUUCCAUUCCGAUCACUAUAUCAAAAUCUCACUUAUAAACCGGAAAACGUCGAAAUUCUAAUUUCGCCAAUUCAAGCCUAAACCUUCCACGGACCUCCAAAAUACAUUUCGAUCACGCGGUGCAAAAGUCAUAAUACAUUACACGAGGCUAGUCAUGCUCGAGAACUGGUGAGCGAAGUGCAAAAGCUCAAAACGACCGGUCGAGUCGUUAUAUUCUCCCCCACUUAAACAUAUGUUCGUCCUCGAACGUGCCUAGAGUUGUUCCGAAAGCCAUUAAAUCAUUGUGUAACCUUACCAUGCACAUGCCUGGGGGUGAUCCCACGUCACCCUAUCUCAUAUAGGUCCGAUAAUACAAUGUAACUAAAAUUUUGCAAUCCAACCUAGCCCAUAAACCCUAGAACCACAUUUCCACUUCUGAAAUCACCCACAAGAGUAGAAUCCCACAUUUAUACCCUGAAUAAGCCCGAACAAGCUAUAACAAACCAUACCUACAACCUCAUAUGCAAUUACAUGAUGUACUACAUAACUCAAACACUCGUGGCGAUAACCUCUAAUUGUAGUAGUUGCUCAAAACACCCGAAUAUUGAUAAUAAGCCUCUUAUCCAAUAAAGCCUCAUUCCAACACUCCCGUAUACUGCCAAUGAUAAAAGAAACACGUAAAAAGUCGUAACCAUUCCUCAUAUCAACCAUUAGUGAAGCCACUUCUCUCUUGACAAUGACCAUAGACAUUUCUAAGCCUAACAUCGAUAUUAUCCUUCCAACACGCUGAAACCGAAUCCGUUUGUAUUCCUCAGAGAUCCCAACGAUCUCAUCUAAUCCAACACUACUACUCUGGUGACAUGUCACAUCAAUACCAUCUAAAGCCGCAACUCGUGCAAUCCGCACACCAAUAGGCAACAAUCCAAACGUACUCAAAUCAUGAAAAUGACUCAAAUGAGUGAGAUGUAUCGUAACCUCACCAGUACCACCAUACACAAUGCUGAGAACUCGCCACACAUCUUAGCACCAGAACACACGAAUCUAACCCGAAGGGUCAUACCUCCACAUAACUUCGCUGCAAUGCGCGAUCCUAUCCGAACACUGGUUCACGUGAAACACCUCAAGUCACUAUGCUCAAAUUCGACAACCACGCACAAAUUUAUUGUCUAAAACCAAAGCAAAUCAUCAUAACCAUGGCAAAGCAAUUGACAUAACAUUACACAUCCCGAAAGGACAAAACCAAUACGCCAUCCACCGAGCAAUACCCAAUACUCUUCCCGCUCGAAUUCCACUAUGAAACCCCAAUAAGACCACACCAUAUGUGCCUAUAAUUAACAAAUCAUAACGCCUCGCAACACAGGAAAGUAACUCAUGGAUCACCUUAGAACACUAAUAGCUCAAUAAUAACCGAAUAACCACAUCCCUCGACAAUAGCAACUCGAAGUCAACAAAGCUGACUCGAUGUAGAACACACAUCCAUUCUGAUCUGCCAAUGAACCCCUUACCAAGAGUUCCUAACGCUUCUCCUUCAACUCCUUUAACUCCGCCAGUGCCAUACGAUACGGUGCCCGACACCAAAUCAAUACCGAAAUCAACAACCCUGUCCGGUGACAUACCGGCCGCAAGAAACACAUCCGAAAAAUCCCUCACCACCGGAACUGAAUCAAUGGUAGGAGUCUUUGCACUGACAUCCGUCACGAAGGCCCAAAUAAGAAGACAAUCCUUCCCAGCCAUCCGUUGGGUCUUCAAAAUGAAAUCACCCUACUGAAAACAUAAUCCGUCGAACUUCGCCACUCAAUCUGUGGCAUCCCCGGCAUAACCAACGUGCCAUCUUAGCAUAACAACCCAGAAUAACACAACAGUGAGACAACUAGUCUAUACCCAAUAUCACAUCCAAAAUCUAACAUACCAAGCAAUAAAGAUCCACUCGGGUCUCCAAACCUCCAAUAGUUACUACACAAGACCGAUAUACGCGGUCCACAACCACGACCUAACCUGUCCACGAGAACUCCCAGUCUCCAAAUCCAUACAGCAGGCGAAUCACCAUAUCUGAUCCCACAUCCACAGUCUAAAUACACAACACACCUCUAACACCCAAUUCUCUCACUAGAGGUACUCCAAAAAUUCUUCUGUGCCAACAAGUAAACUCGAAUAUCAGUCAUCGAUCCAAUAAGAGAGCGCCGCAAUACUAAUGAAGUAUCAUUAACUCAAUCACAUUGUACUUUUUUUGAAACGUAUACCCUCAUCAAGCCACAUCAAUUAGUAAUAUCAUUUCCCUAAUCAUCUGAACCGUCCAUGCCACCUAAGAAUUUGUGACCUCCCUUUCAAAACUGAAUCGUGACCUUACACAUGCAAAUCUCAACCCUACACAACAUACCGCAUAUACCAUACCAUCCUAGGAUGAAUAUGAGAACUUCAUACCCCUUCCGAGCCACAAGCAGCUACGUACUCAACUAGCCAAGAACUUUCCAUUGAUCCCAUCUAGAAGAAAAUCACUACACAUCCUCUGCUUCUCACGCUCGUAGAAAAUAUGCAUCUCUAACCGUGGCAGAAACCAUCAAGAACUCUUUGAAUUCCAUUUGCACAACACAAAACCAUCAGGACUGAAUCCUUCUAACUCAACCAAGCUACGCAGAUCACUAAAACUCAAGAGCAUUGUUGUGAAACACCUAUAGGAACUUUUUACCUUAUAAGCACCCAAAGAACUCAUCAUAUCCUUUCCCAUGCCGAUCCGACCUACUACCAAGCUAUCCCAUUUAUACAAGUUCCUCCGAAUUUACCUUCAACUUGAUACUUCUUCUCGUUAUCACAUCAAAAUCCUCGACCCAGACUCACCACAUGAGACUCGAGCAUAAUACCACACCGUCUAAGGCUCAUAAGCCGCUGACUACUUUCUCAAAUAUACCCAAAAACACCACAUUCGAAAUACUUUACUCUGAAGAGACUUCCUGCGAAUCUAAAUCCGUCACCUUCACCUUCCCCUUCCUGAUGUUGAUGUGUAGAAUCCAUAAUGAUAUAGAAAUACCACAAGUCUUGACACCCUCCAAUGCCACCUCAGUUUCUAGCCAAAUAUACAACCCGAAAAUCUCCAAUUAUUCAAUGUAAGAUCUUGAACACAUUAGAACCAUUCUUGAAAGUCAUCGACUCUGCUCAAACUGCAAUUAGACUGAUCAAAUGAACCGAACAACCUAUGCCUCAUUAGCACUCUGACACCGCAGAAUGUAACCUCACCUCAAUGCAACCAAGCAACUUUUUUUCCUAUGUACGGAGCAUCCUUUACCAAUAACAACUCAAGACAUUCUGUGAUUCUCAUACACCUAUGAAGCAUAAUAUAACCUUUGUCAAAGUUUUCCUCUACUCUAGCUAUCCUCGGUCCCAAUCCCUGCAAGCCAUAACUAAUUCACCAGUACACCUCAAACUGGAACCAACAUAGCAUAUAACUGUGCAAUCACCUAAUCAAUAGCAGACUCCCCCACUUGGAUCAAAGCCAUAGAUCCAAACAUACAAUAACUCAUAAUAUGUAUACUCUAUCAUUGCCAUAAUACCAUAGUGAAAUUAAACUCAACCCUUCAUAAGCUCGUACAACACAAACCAUCUAGUACUUUAAAUCUUCUGCAAAUCUCGCAUUCGCCCUCGCAGUAGUCAAGCCCACUCUCUUAGGCGAUCCAAAUUCAAAUUGCAGCAUAUACAUUUCACUAGUAGAGGAGAUCUUCUAUCAAUCCACAUAAGGAUCACACAACUUCAGAACACUCCGCAGGAGAUAACCCACGUGCUUCGCCUCAAACUAACAUUUCUUUAUACCUUCCACCGUCAUAAACAUUACAUAGUCGCUUAAUCUUCUUGAGUCUGAACUCACAACACAACGUGAAAUCUACUUCACUUCCUAACUAGAAAACAUGAAAAAAUUCUUCACACACCCAUAACUCGGGGCUAUACCUCAAAUCAAUAUGGAAAUCAAACACCAAAUAGUUCUUCUAUCCUCCAGCAGACCCUUCUCGUCGCUUCCAAAUCAUAUGAAUACAUCGCAGUCAUAUCAUACUCAUAACAUAGCUACCCAGUCAUCACUCCCAUUAAUAGGGACACUAUCGGACAUACAAAUCCACAAGCACAUGCUCACACAAUCAACACCUCAGUGCUCAAGAUGUAGGCAAAAACCCGGCCUCAUGUCCUCUAGACUGGCCCCAUAUCAACACACAGAGAUCACGUCUCGCCCCUCGAUCAGGGAAUCACAAGUCAUCGAUGCAUAUCUGAUACGAAGCGCUUAUGCGCGCAUACGAACACGUGGAAGGGAUUCAAAGAGUUACAUUCCAAGCUGAAUCAAGGACGCGCGAUAAGAAUUUGAGAAGGCGAAAUUUUUCCUAAAGGUUCUGCAGCCUCCCGAGGAUAAGUACAGACGUCUCUGUACCGAUCCGCGAAACUCUACUAAACCUGCUCAUGACUCGUGAGACCUACGUAACCUAGGCUCUGAUACAAAAUUGUCACAACCCUAAACCCAGACCUGGUCGUGUUGUCACUUCUCAUGAAGACAAGGCCAGUCGACACAACACCCAAUUCAUUUUAAACGAUUCAAAUAGAACAAAUAAGUCAUUAACAUGAUUAAAUCUCAAUAGAAACAGUGAAAUAGUACAAUUUGCGAAAAAAACAACACAGCCCGACAUCGGGGGUCACCAGUCAUGAGCAUCUAUUAGAAGUUUACAAGUUUGGAAAGAGUUUGCACAUUAUAUUACAUAACUAGGGCAAAGGAAAUAAAAUAGGAGGGAGAGACACUGGGCUGCAAACGCCGAGCAGCUACCUAGUGGACUCCGAAUAGCUUGCUGAGCAAUCAACCCUCACUGGCGGAACCUGAAGCUCCUAAAUAUGCGCACAGGGUACAAGGAGUAAAGUGAAUACUCCUACUCAGUGAGUAAUAACAAUAAAUGAAGACUGAGCGAUAAAAAAUCACGUGAAAACACAACAACACGCUAUAAAGAAGCAGAGUAAAACCAGUAAAGUGCAAUAAAAUAGUGAAAUCUCAUAAAACACCUUAGUGUAUAAGCUUCUUUAAAAUACCUUUUUAACAGUUAAACAAGUAGAUAACAGGCAACUAGAAGAGAUAAAGACAUAAAAACCGCCCCUCGGGCACAAUACCAACAAAAUCAACCCCUCGGGCAACAACAUGGAACAACACCAGCCCAUCGGGCUAUAUCUCAUAUCACAAUGGGUACCCGCGCUUACUAGGGGUAUACAGACUCCGGGAGGGGCCCCUUACGGCCCAAGCGUAAUAUCAAUCCAUCUCGUGGCAUAAUCAAUAUGCUCUCGGCCUCAUAUCAAGCCACCUCAUGGCGUACAACUCAGGCCCUCGGCCUCAUAAUCAUAAAUCAAUAUGUCAUUGCUGCUGCGUGUAGCCCGACCCAAAAGUAUCCUCACAACACAGGCCCUCGGACUUACUCAGUCAUAAUCUCAUAAGCCACUCGGGCAACAGUAAAACAUGAUGCUCAGCCCAAAAUAUCAUUUGAAACAUCAUUUAAUGUAUUAAAACAGAGUAAACAUGACUGAGUUAUGAAAACAGUAGAAUAAAGCAUGACUGAGUACAAAUAUAAAGUCAAAACAAUGAGGAAUAGUAGUAAAGAUCCCUAAGGGUUCCAAAACAGUUGGCACGAGGCCCAAAUAUGGCAUUCAGCCCAAGACAUGAUGAUAACAAACAAUUUUUAAUCAAAUAUUCAGUAAAACAGUCAUUCGGGACGGACUAAGUCACAAUCUCCAACAUAGCACAACGAUGUGUAAUCCGGGGUUUCAUACCUUCAAGACAACAUUUACAAUCAUUACUCAACUCGAUUCGGUCUAAACUCUAGCCCGCGAUGCCUUUGCCCCUCGAAUCGACCUCAACUCGCGUCGAAUCUAACCAAAAUCAGAAUCACGACGUCAAAAUAUGCUAAGGGAACGAAGCCCUAUGCGAAAAUAAUCAAUUUACAACAUAAAUCCCGAAUUUAACCAAAACCCGACCCCCGGGUCCAUGUCUCGGAAUUCGAAAAAUUUACAUAAACAGAUUCCUCAUCUCCCCACGAGUUCAUACAUAUUAAAAGCCCCAAAAUCCGACCACAAAUGGACUCUCAAAUCCCCAAGUCAAGGUCACCAAUACCAAGCCCUAGUUUUCCAAAUUUUUAACCUUUAAUUUCCAUAAUUGCAAGCCUAAUCCGUGAAAUACUGCCAUAAAAUCGAUUAUUAGGUUCAAAAAUCUUACCUCCAGACAUUAUCCCUUGAAUCCCUCUUCAAAAUCUCCCAAAAAGCUUCAAAACCGACUUGAAAUGGUGGAGAACAACUCAAAAAUCACGAAGGAAUUGUUUUAUACCUUCUGGCCCAGGCUUUUCGCACCUGCGACCCAAAUCCCGCUCCUGCGGUCCCGCUUCUGCGGCCUAAUCAACCGCAUCUGUGGUUUUCACUUAAAUGGCCAUUUCCGCAUCUGCGGUUAGAAACCUCGCACAUGCGCUACCGCAGGUGCACCCCACUUUACCGCUUCUGCGGUUCCUGAUGCCCUUCUUCUUGGCCGCAUCUGCGGCUGCCUUCCGCUUCUGCGAGCAUCACACAUGCGGCGUCCCAACCGCAGGUGCGGUUAUGACAGUAACAAAAUGCUUCAGCUAUCCCAACUCAACUUCAAACCUUCCGCCAACCAUCCGAAAUCACCCCGAGGCCCCCGGGACCUCAACCAAAAGCAUAAACCAGUCAUAUACCACUACCCAAACUUAUACCAAUCUUCGAAACACCUCAAACAACAUCGAAUGCAUUAAAACACUUCGAGUUCAAGUCUAAGGUUCCAAAAUCUUUCGAAUUCCGCUUUUGAUCAAAAAAUCUACUAAACCACGUCCGAAUGACUUGAAAUCUUGCAUACACAUCCCAAAUGACACAACGGACCUUCUGCAACUCCCGGAAUUCCAUUCCGACCACUAUAUCAAAAUCUCACCUAUCAACACGAAAACGUCAAAAUUCCAAUUUCGCCAAUUCAAGCCUAAACCUUCCACGGACCUCCAAAAUAAAUUCCGAUCACGCUCCAAAGUUCCAAAUCGCCUAACGGAGCAAACCAAAUCAUAAAAAUUCCAAUCCGAGGUUAUCUACGAACAAGUCAAAUCUUGGUCAAACCUUUCAAAAUUUUAAGCUUCAAAUUGAGGACUGUUCUUCCAAAUUCAUUCCGAUUAUCCUGAAAUCCAAAACCGAUGAUUUACAUAAGUUAAUAUAUCACACGGGGCUAGUCAUGCCCGAGAACUGGCGAGCGGAGUGCAAAAACUCAAAAUGAUCGAUCGGGUCGUUACAACCUUAUUAUUCAUCCACCAAUUGGCAGAAAAUACAUGUAUAGGCCUUAGUAGUUGGAAAUCGAAACAAGACUUCGAUAUUAUAGUAGACUCUCUUUUACAGAGUUUUUUUAAUUAGAACAAAAAAUCUAAUGAGAAGAACAGUGAAAAUAAACUCACAUAUGUUGAUUUAGUAUUAAUUAAUUGGCCAGUAGGUUUAGAAACAAAUAAAAAAAACAGCAAUACGAAGGGAGAGACAUAAGAAACAAUUUUAUCUUUGAGCCUCUCUUGUUAUUAUUCAAUGUAUUUUUCCCAAGUUUGAAUUAGUUGGAAUUUAUUACAAUCACAUUACACGACACAAGUGAUUGGUAAUUGGUAUAAGGUUCUAAAUCUUCAUUUUGCUUGAGGUUGUAUACAUUUUUCUUAAAUUUUAUUAUUCUUGGCUUACUCUUUUUUUAUAAUCCUGACAUUUGGAUCAAUUUGUGUGUAUCUUAAUUAAUUGGAAAAAAUUAAAAAAUAGCCAGAUUUACAAGUUGUCAUUCAAAAAUAGUCAUAGUUUCAAAAGUAAUCAAAAUUUAGCCAUUUUUCAUGUAAAGAUAAAUCUAAACGAAAACAAUGUUCAAAAUCCGGGAAAAUACUCCAGUAUAAUAUGUCACACCUCCUUUUUACUACCCCCGGAAGGGGAUAUAAGGGAGUUUUUCUCAAUUUAAGUGACAAUCGAAACAGAAUUAUUUAUAUUAAAAUCAGAGUUGCCACUUGGGAUAGUUUAUUGGUGUCCCAAGUCACCGGUUUAAAAUCUCAAAUCGAGGAAAGUUUGACUCUAAUUAUGGUCUGCGGACACAGAAAUUUAGGUAAGGAAUUCUGUUAACCCAGGAGAAGGUGUUAGGCAUUCCCGGGUUCCGUGGUUUUAACACAGUUGCUUAACUAUUAAUAUUGGCCCAAUUAUCUGAUGUAAUUACACAUUUUAAACCUAUGUGCACUUUUUAACUUUCUAACCGCUUUUAAUAUUUUUAGGAAAAUUCAAGGUUAUUUAAAACACAUCGUAAGCCACGCUACAUGAAAUGCACCCGCGGUUCACGACAGGUUUUAUUUAACAUUGUUGAAAAUUGGAGCCAGGUCACAUGAAAUGUACACCCGGAUUUUAGCAAUCACAAAUCACAACUACGUCACGAGAACCGUACCCAUAGUCACGACGAUUAUUUACACGUCGAAAGCAAAGCUGCAAAUGUUUAUGAAUACUGCUGACCUAAGCAUGCUCUUAAUGGGUUGUAACACGAAAUAUAAUAAUGAAUCAAAGUGAUUUGAGUAAACUUUAACUCUGAUAAUGACGAUUAAAGAGAAAUAUGAAACCCCUGAAGCUCAAACAUAUUAACUCUAAAUUCUACAAAAUAAUCUACGAGACUUACGAGGCAAACACAAUUAAUGUCUAUUAUAUAUAUGGCUAAACUAAUAUUUUAUACCCUAAUACCAAUUCACACCAAACUAUUGAUAAUGAAACCUUUAACAUCUUAAUUAAAGAGUAUAACAUGGAAUUUAAAGACUUCCUAUCCAUUAAGCUAACAAAAACUCAAUAUGAGCUGACAACAUACAUGAAAUAAAAUAGCAAAUACUAACAUAUCCGCAAAUCAAAACGAUAAAAGCAUUAAUCCAAACAGUUCAUAAAACAGAGAGUAACAAAUUGACAGAAGUACACUAUUAAGCCAAACGGAAUAUGAGAAAAUGAGGAACCAAACCUCAAAAUGGAUCAGAACAUUAAUUGUGAGGUAACGUUAACGCUUUGUUUGCUCCGGCAUAGCGGUGGCUGGAGAUUGAACACUACUGCCACUGAACACUGUGAAAUCUAGCUGCCUAGCCAGCUUCUUUGCCGAUAAAUCCACUGCCACCUACGGUUGCACCAUUGUAGCUGCAGCAACGGAAAUAGCCACCUCCGAUUGAACCUUGUUAGGAGGAAAUGAAAUCCCCUCUAUGACUAUUCUCCAUUCAAACACAAUAAAAUCUCACUAAACACCCCAAAAUUAAAAAAAAUAAAUCUCAUAAAUUCACUGAUUACCCAUUGCUAAUACCACGAUAAUUCCACAACAUUCAACCAAUAUAACGAGAAACUGCUCUUGAGUAUUACAUAAGCCGAACAAGACGCCUUUUCAAUUUUCAAACCUAUUUCUAAUUUGAAUUCGGAUGAUGAACCGUUACUUCUAUUACACAGAAAUUACUACUACUAACAACCAAAGACAGACAAAUACAAAUAGCAGCGAAAUCGGUAACUGUUGCUCAUUCAAACAUAAAAAACGACCAGCGAACAACCAGAUUUAAGGAAAUGAAAAUCUCUCGAGAAAUGAACGAAAAAAUCUGAUGAGGAUUGUCUUUUUGUUCAAAAUGGCGGAUUGGUUUUUUAAAGUCUAGGGAUCUAAGUUUGUUUUUUGUCACCUCCGAAUCGAAACGGUUGAUUCUGUUUUUGCCUUAUUCUUGUAUUAUGCCUGAAGAAGAUGAAGGUGUGUGUGAUUUUCAAGAUCAGAAACGACACCUUCUCUGUAGUCUUUUUAUUCGUUAGGUUCAUUUUCUUAGGUUCUUUUAUUGUGUAGCUAUAGGGUGCUGAUGGGUUAGGGUUAAAUUUGGGCCUUGACAGACUUGGGCCUUCUCUAAGACAAAAUUAUGAUUAAAUAUGGGCCAAAACUCUCUUGAAUUAGUUCAAAAUUGGCCUUCUCAAAAAUCUAGAUUUCAUUAACUAAGGGCCUAAGUUUUCCUUAUUUAAAAUAGUAUAAAGCAUUUAUAAAAAUGUAAGACUACUUCUAAUUAAUUAAAAUAAACUACUAAAGAUAAACCUAAAAAUGAAACUUUUUUUUGGUAUUUUUUCAAGAUUAAAAAUGACUACAAAACAUUAAUGAAACUAUUUUUUUUGUAAUUUUAUUUUUUGUGAUAAAAUAAAGUAAAAGAGUCAAAAUUAGUUGAAAUUACUAUAUUAGACCUAAACUAAGUAUUUACAUGCUAAAAUAUAAAAAAUCAUGGGGAGCGUCAAAAAUCACAUGUCUACAGCUGCCCCUCUUUGACUGGGAACGCGAAGAGUUUUUAGACAAAGAUCGACUAGACAGGUUUUUUGACCUGACCCUUAUUUAGGGAGACCAAAAACUAGGAGAAUGUGACCGAGCCCUGGUAUCUGAGCUGCCUACUUGGUUAUAAAGGAAUCAGGCCACGUGUAGUUCAGAAGUAGGAAGAGUGAUGGAGUACCGAGGUAGAGAGCCGAUUGAGGUGUCGUCAAGGUUCCGGUCCGUGCUCCUGUUAUUACAUCAAAAAAUCAAAAUGAAAAAGACUAACUAAACCUGUCAACUACGAGUUACAAGAUUCCUAUCUAUAAGUCUUCUGAAGCUUGAUCUUGAGUCUUGAAUAGUUCUUCAUGCAGACUUUAGAUUUGAACCUUGACGCUUGUUAGCUGCAGGUGCUAGCUCGUUCUUCUUCAGCUUUUCGGAUCAAGACCGGACAUGUAGUGCUUGUACGUUAGCCAUAUCUUGAGCAGCUCACAUCUUUCAUCUAUUUCUGCAUUUGGAUUCACUUCUAGCUUUUUUUAUUUUGGAUUGUGACUAACUUCUGUUGAUCAUCUCGGAUUGUUGACUCGCAUUAUUGCCGCGAGCUUCUGCUACUUCUAACUUGAAUUGAAUUCUGAAAUGACUUCUCUUGUUCUCCAGGUGGGCACCUGAUUGCCUAUACUUGAACUGUAUUCCCUUGCUCACCAGGUGGGCGCCUGAUUGCCAAAACUUGAACUAUAUUCCCUUGUUCUCCAGGUGGGCGCCUGAUUGCCAAAACUUGAACUGUAUUCCCUUGUUCUCCAGGUAGGCGCCUGAUUGCCAAAAUUUGAACAGUAUUCUCUUGUUCUCCAGGUGGGCACCAGAUUGCCAAAACUUGAACUGUAUUCCCUUGUUCUCCAGGUGGGCGCCUGAUUAAAAAAACUUGAAUUGUAUUCACUUGUUCUCCAGGUGGGCGCCUGAUAUAAACUGUAUUCCCUUGUUCUCCAAUUGGGUGCCUGAUUGCCAAAAACUGAACUGUAUUCCCUUAUUCUCCAGGUGAGCGCCUGAUUGCCAAAACUCGAACUAUAUUCCCUUGUUUUCUAGGUGGGUGCCUGAUUGCCAAAACUUGAACUGUAUUCUCUUGUUUUCCAGGUGGGCACCUGAUUGCCAAAAACUUGAAACUGUAUUCCCUUGUUCUCCAGGUGGGCGCCUGAUUUCCAAAACUUGAAUUGUAUUCCCUUGUUCUCCAGGUGGGUGCCUGAUUGCCAAAACUUGAACUGUAUUCCCUUGUUUUCUAGGUGGGCGCCUGAUUUUCAAAAACUUGAAUUGUAUUCUUUGUUCUCCCUUGUUCUCCAAGUGGACGCCUGAUUGCCAAAAUUUGAAAUGUAUUCCCUUGUUCUCCAGGUGGGCGCCUGAUGCCAAAACUUGAAAUGUAUUACCUUGUUCUCCAGGUGGGUGCCUGAUUUCCAACAUUUGAACUGUAUUCCCUUGUUUUCCAGGUGGGCGCGCCUACCAUUACAACAAAACAUACAAAACAAAGAAACUUUUCUGCCCCAGUUUGGUAUCUGGGCACAUUUGUAAGUGUUAGUCGAAUCAUGUUACCCAAAAGCUCCAAGAAUUUUAAAGCUAAAUUCCAUUAUCCAUGAGGGCCCUGAAAUUUUUAAUUAAGUCUCAUCUUAAGAGUGACAACUUUAAAGCUAAAUUAUAUUUUCUAAAGGUAGAACUUAUACUAAACCUUGUUAUCUAUAAAGGUCUUGAAAUUUAACUAGGUCCCUUAUCCAGGAGGGUCCUGAGAAAUUUUAAGAUUAAAUCCCAUUAUCCAGGAGGGCCCUGAAAAUCUUAAACUAAAUCCCAUUAUCCAGGAGGAUCUUGAAAAGCCGAGAAUGAACUUACCUGAGCCAUGCUCUCUUCCUGGAGGAUCUCUACAGAACGAACAAAAUUCCUUGCCCCUGAACCAUGCUUUUCCUCAUGGAAGGUUUCUGCAGAUCCAAUAAAUUUUCUUUCCCCUUCUCAAACCGCCUUUGUGUUGACAAAAUUUGGGCACGACACUUGAAAAAUUCAAGUUUCCAAGCUUUGAUUUUGACAUAGUCUUCGUCCCUGUUUCAAACAAAGCAAACUUGUGAGUUUAAACAUGGUGGUUGGUUUAUGGCCUUGACUUUGAGGGUGAUUGCUCCUUCACUUCCCAUGAUAUGAUAACUUUGAUUUCAACUCGAAAGACCUUUCUUGUUUAUUGACUAACCACUUUCUCUGUCACCCUUAUUACAGAAAAUAUCUCUGAUCUGUUCAAACCCAACAUCCUCUAUCUGUUGCAUUUUGCUCAUGAAUUGACAUUUACCGAACCUUUGUAUUUCACAUGAAUCCCAAAACAUGUUGAUUUUUACCAACUCAGUGCGCUUGUUGUUCUUUCCUGACAUAUGCCACUGGCCUUGGCCUUGAAGUCUAUUGCUCAUUCACUUGCCAUGAUAACUUUGAUUUCCACUUGGAAGACCUUGCAUGUUAUUGGUUAAACACUUUCUCUGUCAACCUUAUCACAAAAAAUACCUUUGAUCCGUUCAAACCUAACACCCUUUAUCUGUUGCAUUAUUCAUGAAUUGACAUAUACCGAACCUUUGUAUUUCACAUGAAUCCCGAAGCACGUUGAUUGUUACCAACUCAGUGCGCUUGCUACUCUUUCUUUACUUAUAUCACUUAUAUAUGCUAGCCAGACCCUGCUUUGUGCAAUUGGAAAGCUGGUGGCAAAUUUUGAAAUCAUUUCUCACUUGUUCUGACCAAAUGGACUCAGGAAGAGGAAGUAAACAAGACAAAAGGAAUAGAGUAAAGGACAAUGGAAAGAGAUAAUUCCUAACAAGAAAACUACAAAGUAGAAACUUAUCAGAUGUGGAUACCAACUCUAAUGACCAUGACAUGAACCUUUGGAUUAAAUGGCCUAAUUUGUCAAGAAAGUCUGAUGUUCAACUCUUGUUAUACCCCUAAACCGUGAAACUGGGCUUCAAUNNNNNNNNNNNNNNNNNNNNNACUAAAUGAGUUACUACAACUAAAGGAACUAGGCAAAAUAAAAAGGAUAGAAGGGUUUGAGGUACAAGACAAUAUCCGGAUUACAACCCUGAAGUAACCCAGACAACAGAAAUGACAACAAAAUGAACCAUUAAGACUCCUCCCUGGCUAGCCAAGAAAGGAGCGUCUUUCCAAUUACCAAGCUCGACAUCUUAGCCACUUAGUUCUGCAUCAACAUUACUAGAACCUUCACAAGUCUCCAUCACAUUGACCUUAGCAAAUUGCUUUUGGGUCCCUUUUGCCAGCUCGUUCUUAAGAUCAACUUUUGGAACCGAGACUGAUAGUGCUAAAACCUUUGCACUAAGUGGCCUUCCAAGGAAUUCAUAAGAGUUUUCAUAUUCAUUUUCAACACAAAUCAUGCCCACCUUAUGCGUCUCAUUAUGAAUAGGCAAUGGACUUUGGCUAGUAUCCGCUGCAUCUGGAUUUUGCAGGGUAAUGUCACCUGCAUCGACAAGUUUCUGGACCGCUCUUUUCAGAUUCCAACAUUUUUCUAUGUUGUUCCCUAGGGCAUUAGAGCAAUAUGCGCACCUUUGAGAAUAAUCAAAAUUAAUUGAAAGGGGGUUCCACAUUUUUAUCCGAAUCGGCUUCAACAUGUCCAAUUGCCUCAAUCUUUGGAACAGACUGGCAUAUGAUUCUCCGAUAGGAGUGAAAGACUUUUCUCUUUGUUGUUGCCUUCUAAUUUUAAACUCCGUCCUUGGUUGGAACCUCUUUCGGGUAGGUGGUUGAUAUGCUUGAGGAGGCGGGUAAGUCAUUUGAGGAGGUGGUGCAGGUCAUUGCGGGUCUCGUGGGUGUGGAUCAUAUGGUGGUGCAUUGUGGAUAGAGUACUAGGAAGUUGAGGUAUGACUUUGGGGAUUUUGUGGAGGAAAGUAGCAUUGGUGAGGAUUAUCUGGAGUACGAGGAUAUUCACGGGGUCGGUAUUGAGGCUGAAAGCGUUUAGCAGAAAUGCCCACUGGAUCCCGUCGUUGGCGGGACUCAUCAACAUCUUUUUUAUCAAUCGAAGGGCUGACUCGAGCAACUUGUUCAUUCCAUUUGAGCCAAAACUCCCCAAAACUUCCCUCGGGUUUGUUUUCCAUAUGAGAUAGGGAGGAGCGGUAUGGGAUAAUGCAUAUAUUGUACUGAUGGUGCCGAACAAAAUCUUGAGCCAUGUCACCCCAUACAUGCCAUUUACUGACAUCUUGACGAGUAUGCCAUUCCAAAGCUGCCCCAGUUAGGCUUUCACUAAAAUACGCCAUCAGCAACUCAUCUUUCCCGCCAACACUUCUCAUUUCACUGGAAUAACCUCUCAGAUGGGCUACUGGAUCUCCACGCCCAUCAUACAAAUUAAACUUUGGCAUCUUAAACCCUUUCAGCUUUCUGGAUAUCUCAUCUUGCUCCACUAUCUUAGCAGGCUUUGCAAUCUCACCGGCAGGCUCAAAAUAAGGAGCGUAAGAGUAUGGACCCGAGACCUUGAAAAUUGGUUCGGGAGUAUAGUGUUGGGCAUCAGGAAUUUUGAAUACAGUCUCGCUCGAGGAUCGAGGAAAGGUAGCAAAUGGAUGAGCUACAAAAAUAUAAGUGGUCAAAGGAGCGGGAUAUGAGGUGGUUUUGGGGGUAGAGUGUGAAAAGGUUGUGGGGAGAUAUCAUGGACUUGUGACAGUGGCGGAAUGUUGACGAGGCUUUCAGUGUAGUUAGUGGGAACUGAUGGUGGAAGACACCCACUAAUCCAAGCUUGGUAUAUUUCGGCCAUUUGUCCUUUCACCCUUAAGACCUCUUUUUUCAACUUAGAUUAUGAUUCAACAAUUCCCUUAGACGGAUCAAUGACCCUUGUGUCCAACUCUUUGCCAGCCAUGACUACCUUGCUCUUUGACCUUGUGUUGUAUGGAUGAGUUACCUUAAGAACCACAAACCAACCACCCUUCUCAAUGAAGAUAACAAAAGGAACAAAAUGGGGACAUCCUGUUAGCAUUAGGGCAUUUAACAGCUAAAAAUAUCACACUGAGUGCAAUGCACCUAGCAACAAUUAACUGUUGUAGAAUGACUUCUAGGGUCACAAGGUCACUUGGCAUCAUCCCAAUUUUGUUCAUUUCAAUCUUCUCUUUUCUUUCUUUUCUAGCACUUCUUGGCUUGCUUAUUUUCCUUCCCUCUUUUUUUCUAAUUAUCACUCUUUUCUAUCCUCUCAUUUCUCACGUCCCAUAAUUUCACCUCUUUUUUUUUCCUUUUUUCUUUUAAUAAUUUGUUUUAUUUCCUUUUUUUUUUCUUUUUCUUUUAAAAAAAAUGAUUCGAUUGAAUCCUAUGUAGGUUGCCUAUGUAUCAUGACGCCGCAUGAAUAAGAUCUUUGCGUAGUUCGGGAAGAACGAGAAUAAAGUAAACAAACUAACGUUCUCUUUUUCUUGUUUAUCUUAAUGACUACUCUGAUGAGAAAAGAGAAAUAAAAGAAGCAAAUCCUUUUUUUUUUGAAUUUUCUAGACUUAAUGUUUGAUAACCUAUUCUAAACACAAGCUUAACGAGCAUAUAUUUUUUCUCUCUCUUUUUGAAACAAAUACUCUAUGGAAAAUCACUAAGGAAAAAAUCCUAGAAGAGGAAAAAAAUAUUUUUUAUUUCUUUUUUUUUUAGGAAGGAAAUCUAAAAAAUAAACCAAGGAAAAAUAUUUUGAAUUUUUGUUUGAUAUCCUGAAAAAAGAUUUUGAAACAAGAAAUGAAAAAUAUAAAAAAUAUUUUUGGAUUUUAGUUUUUGAUUACCAAAGGGAGAAACUCUGAAGAUAAACCAAAGAUAAAGUACGUUAUUUUUUCUAUGUGCAAUGUCCUAAAGUUCUAGUGAAAAUAAAAUGAAUUUUAUUUCAUUUUUCGUUAAUUUUCCAAAGAAGAACCUCAAAAUAAAAUCUUUUUGGAUUUUUGGAAUCAAUAUCUUAGAAAAAAACUUUUACAGAGUUUUUUUUAUUUUAGUCUUAAUAUACUAAGGAAAUAUAAAAAUAAUUUUUUUUAUUUUUGAGUUCUAGAUAUUAAUUUCCUAAAGGAAAACCACCUCAAAAGAUUAUUUUUUUUAAAUUUUUAGAAUUAGUAUUCUAAAGAAAAACUUCUAACGGAAAUAUAAAACGCAAAAACUCUUUUUUUUUUUGGAUUUUGAGUUAUAACACACUUUUUCAAAUAUAAAAUAGGAAAUACGAUAACGAAUGAUUCGAUAUUAUUGUACAAAAUUAGAAGGUAAAAGACAACAUAGAAAGAAAAACAGACUUAAAUAAAUAAAAAAAAUAAAGAUAAAAAAAUCUCCUUAAACAAACUUCUAAAUGAGCGAUCGUGAUUGGAUGGUCCCGGGGCGUCAGUCAUGCCCAAACUCCGGUAAGUAAAUCCACACCUGUAUGAGAAAAUUAAGACCAAAUAAAGUUAAAGACCUAGAACACUAUGUGAGACAAUAACCCUUCAUGUUGGACACAUGCAAGACAUGAUUGUGACUAUUUUUCUAAAAUUAACCUAUGUGGCUAAAAGUGGCUAAAAAUGCAAGAUUUGGCUAAGACCCCGCGAAGUCAAGAACCUAAAACUUACUAGGAAGACCAGACCCUAUGUGGGUUGCCUACGUAUCCCGCCCCGAAAGACGAGAAUCAGGUAUGCGUAGUUCGGGCGAAUUGGAUACGGGCGAGAAAUAAAAAAACAACUAAUUUAGAGAAAAUAUAUCUUUUUCUUUUCCUUGAAAAUGAUGAAACAUGUAAAAUCUUUUUGGAUUUUCUUUUUCCUCUUUUUUUUUGAUUUUUUUUUUUGAAAAAAAAUGAUGGGAAAGUGCAAAAUCUUUUUGGAUUUUUUUUCAUUUUCAAUUUUUGCUCUUUUCUUGAAAAAGCGUGAAAGAAAAUUGUAACUGGGCCCUAUUUGCUUUAUUUUUUACACUUCACCCUCUCUUUUUUCAUUUAUCCUCAACCCUCAUUGGUCCGCCAAAUGACCUCUUUUAUCCUUGAAGAUUGCAACAUGUAGUACAUAGACUGCAUCAGGAUGAUUUUUUAUUUUUUUUGGGUACACCUGUCCUAGAGGGACCCAACCCCUGUGUUGAGUCCCCAAAGUCAAAUGCACAUGAUGCAAACAAAUGUUCCUUCUAGGAAUCCGGUAUGAGGCUGAGUUAUUCUAGGUUUAAAACUUGGGUGUAUUUGUUCUAGACCUAGCUUACUCGAGCGGACAGCUCGAGCCGAGGGGGCAAGCGUACCGGGAAUGCAGAAGCUUCACCGGCUUUGCAACUUGUCCGAACCUCGUUCUAAAAUUGGAAUAUGACUUUAACAGAAGAGAAGUCACACGAAGUGCACAUUUUCCAGAUGAUUUAGAAGACUCAGAGAGAGGAGGGUUUCGUAACAAUUUAUAUACAGUCCAAACAAUAUCAAAGCGGUAAAAAGCGGCAAUUAGCACAUUAGGCUCAAACAUAUAAAAAUUAGAUAAUAAAUAAAAACCAACUAUAACAGUUAUUCUAAGCUCGAAUUCUGAACCUUGAACCAGAGGUUCUGGGUUCUUAUCCCCAGCAGAGUCGCCAGAGCUAUCACACCUCCUUUUUACUACCCCGGAAAGGGAUAUAAGGGAGUUUUUUCCAAUUUAAGUGACAAUCAAAACGGAAUUAUUUAUAUUAAAAUCAGAGUUGCCACUUGGGUUAGUUUAUUAGUGUCCCAAUUCACCGGUUUAAAAUCCCGAAUCGAGGAAAGUUUGACUCUAAUUAUGGUCUGCGAACACAGAAAUCCGGGUAAGGAAUUCUGUUAAUCCGGGAGAAGAUGUUAGGCAUUUUCGAGUUCCGUAAUUUUAGCACGGUCGCUUAACUAUUAAUAUUGGCCCAAUUAUCCUAUGUAAUUACACGUUUUAAACCUAUGUGCACUUUUUAACUUUCUAACUACUUUUAAUAUUUUUAGGAAAAUUCAAGGUUAUUUAAAACACAUCGUAAGCCACGCUACAUGAAAUGCACCUGCGGUUCACGACACGUUUAAUUUAACAUUGUUGGAAAUUGGAGCCGGGUCACAUAAAAUGUAUACCCGAAUUUUAGCAAUCACAAAUCACAACUACGUCUCGAUGAUUAUUUACACGCCAAAAGCAAAGCUGCAAAUGUUUAUGAAUACUUCUGACCUAAGCAUGCUCUUAAGCCUUAAUGAGUCUAACACGAAAUAUAAUAAUGAAUCAAAGUGAUUUGAGUAAACUUUAACUCUGACUAAUGACGAUUAAAGAGAAAUAUGAAAACCCUGAAGCUCAAAUAUAUUAACUUAACAUUAACUCUAAAUUCUACAAAAUAAUCUACGAGACUUACGAGGCAAACACAAUUAAUGUCUAUUAUAUAUAUGGCUAAACUAAUAUUUUAUACCCUAACACCAAUUGACACCAAAAUAUUGAUAAUGGAACCUUUAACAUUUAUUAAAGAGUAUAACAGGGAAUUUAAAGACUUCCUAUCCAUUAAACUAACAAAAACUCAAUAUGAGCUAACAACAUACAUGAAAAUAGAAUAGUAAAUACUAACAUAUCCUCAAAUAAAAACGAUAAAAGCAUUAAUCCAAACAGUUCAUAAAAUAGAGAGUAACAAAUUGACAGAAGUACACUGUUAAGCCAAACAGAAUAUGAGAAAAUGAGGAACCAAACCUCAAAAUGGAUCAGAACAUUAAUUAUGAGGCAACAUUAAUGCUUUGUUUGCUCCGGCAUAGCGGUUGCACCGUCGUAGCUGCAGCAGCGAAAAUAGCCACCUCCGAUUGAACUUUGUUAGGAGGAAAAGAAAUCCUCUAUGACUAUUCUCCAUUCAAACACAAUAAAAACUCCCUAAACACCCAAAAAUUACAAAAAAUCUCACAAAUUCACUGAUUACCCACUGCUAAUACCACGAUAAUUCCACAACAUUCAACCAAUAUAACGAGAAACUGCUCAUGAGUAUUACAUAAGCCGAAUAAGACGCCUUUUCAAUUUUCAAACCUAUUUCUAAUUUGAAUUCAGACGAUGAACCAUUAUUUCUAGUACACAGAAAUUACUACUACUAACAACCAAAGACAGUCAAAUACAAAUAGCAGCAAAAUCGGUAACUGCUACUCAUUCAAACAUAAAAAACGAC
rnacentral:lncRNA from 1 species